CAUGGUUCCAAGGCCACGCCUCUUCCUGUGACUUGUGGGGACACGCAAGAAGUGUUCUGCUGGAGCGUUCUCACCCAGCUGUAGCUGAAAUGCUGGCUCUGAAAGAUGAAGGACAAGGACAACGGAAUAGGCUCCAUAUCCACCAUGACCCUGACCAGGAUAAAGAGCUUACUGAUGAGGAACAAACCAGUGCAUGAAUGAGUGCUCUCUCACAAAGCGCUAUGAGCCAGCCGACUUGCUAAAACACGGUACAUCUCCCCAGUGACGACGCUGUACUUACAAGGCCUUCGGCUUUGGCCAGAGGAGCCUCCAGCUCGGGGUAGACGUUCUCCACAUACCACUUAAAGCUCUUGCACUGGAGCUUCUCACGCAGCUGGA